rnacentral:rRNA from 1 species
UUGAAGAGUUUGAUCAUGGCUCAGAUUGAACGCUGGCGGCAGGCCUAACACAUGCAAGUCGAACGGUAACAGGAAGAAGCUUGCUUCUUUGCUGACGAGUGGCGGACGGGUGAGUAAUGUCUGGGAAACUGCCUGAUGGAGGGGGAUAACUACUGGAAACGGUAGCUAAUACCGCAUAAUGUCGCAAGACCAAAGAGGGGGACCUUCGGGCCUCUUGCCAUCGGAUGUGCCCAGAUGGGAUUAGCUAGUAGGUGGGGUAAAGGCUCACCUAGGCGACGAUCCCUAGCUGGUCUGAGAGGAUGACCAGCCACACUGGAACUGAGACACGGUCCAGACUCCUACGGGAGGCAGCAGUGGGGAAUAUUGCACAAUGGGCGCAAGCCUGAUGCAGCCAUGCCGCGUGUAUGAAGAAGGCCUUCGGGUUGUAAAGUACUUUCAGCGGGGAGGAAGGGAGUAAAGUUAAUACCUUUGCUCAUUGACGUUACCCGCAGAAGAAGCACCGGCUAACUCCGUGCCAGCAGCCGCGGUAAUACGGAGGGUGCAAGCGUUAAUCGGAAUUACUGGGCGUAAAGCGCACGCAGGCGGUUUGUUAAGUCAGAUGUGAAAUCCCCGGGCUCAACCUGGGAACUGCAUCUGAUACUGGCAAGCUUGAGUCUCGUAGAGGGGGGUAGAAUUCCAGGUGUAGCGGUGAAAUGCGUAGAGAUCUGGAGGAAUACCGGUGGCGAAGGCGGCCCCCUGGACGAAGACUGACGCUCAGGUGCGAAAGCGUGGGGAGCAAACAGGAUUAGAUACCCUGGUAGUCCACGCCGUAAACGAUGUCGACUUGGAGGUUGUGCCCUUGAGGCGUGGCUUCCGGAGCUAACGCGUUAAGUCGACCGCCUGGGGAGUACGGCCGCAAGGUUAAAACUCAAAUGAAUUGACGGGGGCCCGCACAAGCGGUGGAGCAUGUGGUUUAAUUCGAUGCAACGCGAAGAACCUUACCUGGUCUUGACAUCCACGGAAGUUUUCAGAGAUGAGAAUGUGCCUUCGGGAACCGUGAGACAGGUGCUGCAUGGCUGUCGUCAGCUCGUGUUGUGAAAUGUUGGGUUAAGUCCCGCAACGAGCGCAACCCUUAUCCUUUGUUGCCAGCGGUCCGGCCGGGAACUCAAAGGAGACUGCCAGUGAUAAACUGGAGGAAGGUGGGGAUGACGUCAAGUCAUCAUGGCCCUUACGACCAGGGCUACACACGUGCUACAAUGGCGCAUACAAAGAGAAGCGACCUCGCGAGAGCAAGCGGACCUCAUAAAGUGCGUCGUAGUCCGGAUUGGAGUCUGCAACUCGACUCCAUGAAGUCGGAAUCGCUAGUAAUCGUGGAUCAGAAUGCCACGGUGAAUACGUUCCCGGGCCUUGUACACACCGCCCGUCACACCAUGGGAGUGGGUUGCAAAAGAAGUAGGUAGCUUAACCUUCGGGAGGGCGCUUACCACUUUGUGAUUCAUGACUGGGGUGAAGUCGUAACAAGGUAACCGUAGGGGAACCUGCGGUUGGAUCACCUCCUU